ACCCACAAAAAAAAUACCAUGAACUGUACUGGAUCAUUACUUCCAAGUCACACAAACUAGUCUGCUAAUCGUUGGAAAUGAUUCUAGUCUGUUAAUGUAUGACUGAGCUAAUAGUAGUAAUCUGUAAUAUUAUAGAAUAAACAACAACAGGGAUUGUUGUUGUUUAUUAUAUAAUAUUACAGUACUAUUGUUGUUUGUGUAUUAUAUAUUAUUUACAGUUUCACCUACUAUUAUAUAUUAUCUACAGUUUCACCUACUAAUACACCGCCAGGCACUUCUGCACUCACACCUGAAGAUGCCAUCUCAACAACUCCACCACUAACCAGCAGUCAGCUACCAACAUCCAGCACAUACCAUGAAACACCUGAGGAGCCCUCGGCUGUUAUGGAGAAGCCAAAAGAGAUCACUACACCGCCAGGCACUUCUGCACUCACACCUGAAGAUGCCAUCUCAACAACUCCACCACUAAACAGCAAUCAGCUACCAACAUCCAGCACAUACCCUGAAACACCUGAGGAGGCCUCGCCUGUUACGGAGAAGCCAAAAGGUAACUUUAAGAAGUACAGUGGGGUGCACUUAAAACAAUUUCAGUGAUGUGUCGUCAGAAUUGUUCCAGGGAUUAUCAAGUGUUAGUUGAUAUCACGAGAAAAUCACAGAACCUCAUACACACACACACAGACACAGACACAGACACAGACACAGACACAGACACAGACACACACAUUCAUUUCCACUGAAAUGCCUCCUUUAGAUCCCACCAGAGUCAUCAUGAGAGUGAGAGGCUUCCUGCACACAAACACGGGAGAGGAGGCAGUACUGGAGGCCUUAAGGAAAGUAAGUUAAAUGCCAUGCUUUAACAGUGGAUCACUUCAGUCAUUAUAAAAGACUAGACUAUAUUACCUUUUAACAUUUACAAAUAGAUUAAUAUCCAUUAUGAAAAAGGGACACACCAAAGUCAUUAUCUCCAAGAACACAAAUGUGAUGUAAGAUGUCUAGAAAUAUGUACGAGUAAACUAAAUAUCACGGGCAGA
rnacentral:lncRNA from 1 species